UCAGAGGCCCUAUAACCCCUCCCCCUUACCAAAGUGGUAUUUUAUAAUGGAAAUUCCUGAGAUUUAUGUUGAAUGAGUUUCCAGGUGAGAAACCAAAGAGUUCAAUGAUGGAAUGGUUAUAAGCAUAAUUAGAUAUUGAGAAUGGGAUGAUAAGUACAGCCGUGAGCUAGAAAGAUAUCGGAUUGACUGAAAGAUUGUUUAACU
rnacentral:lncRNA from 1 species